rnacentral:rRNA from 1 species
UUUGACGUUAGCGGCGGACGGGUGAGUAACACGUGGGUAACCUACCUAUAAGACUGGGAUAACUUCGGGAAACCGGAGCUAAUACCGGAUAAUAUUUCGAACCGCAUGGUUCGAUAGUGAAAGAUGGUUUUGCUAUCACUUAUAGAUGGACCCGCGCCGUAUUAGCUAGUUGGUAAGGUAACGGCUUACCAAGGCGACGAUACGUAGCCGACCUGAGAGGGUGAUCGGCCACACUGGAACUGAGACACGGUCCAGACUCCUACGGGAGGCAGCAGGA